rnacentral:rRNA from 1 species
UACGAGGGGGGCAAGCGUUGUUCGGAAUUACUGGGCGUAAAGGGCUCGUAGGCGGUCAACUAAGUCGGACGUGAAAUCCCCAGGCUCAACCUGGGAACUGCGUCCGAUACUGGAUGGCUUGAAUCCGGGAGAGGGAUGCAGAGUUCCAGGUGUAGCGGUGAAAUGCGUAGAUAUCGGGAGGAACACCAAUGGCGAAGGCAGCUUGCUGGGACGGUACUGACGCUGAGGCGCGAAAGCGUGGGGAGCAAACAGG